GCUCAGGUGGUGGAAUUGGUAGACACACACGUUUGAGGGGCGUGUGCCGCAAGGCGUAAGGGUUCGAGUCCCUUCCUGAGCACCA
rnacentral:tRNA from 2 species